rnacentral:rRNA from 1 species
UACGUAGGAGGCGAGCGUUGUCCGGAAUUACUGGGCGUAAAGAGCGCGUAGGCGGCACGAUACGACCACGGUGAAAGCCCCCGGCUCAACUGGGAAGGGUCCGUGGUAACGGUCGAGCUGUGAGCGCAGGAGAGGGAAGUGGAACUCCGGGAGUAGCGGUGAAAUGCGUAGAGACCCGGAGGAACACCAGUGGCGAAGGCGGCUUCCUGGUCUGCAACUGACGCUGUGGCGCGAAAGCUAGGGGAGCAAACGGG